GGAACACCUCCCAAAGACAGCAGUCCCAUUGUCCCUUCCUUUGUAGCCUCAGAUAAACACCCUGGACUACCAAAGAAAGGACACAGAAUGGGAGACUUGAGAGCUACUUUGUAAUAUUCUGAGACUUGAUUUCCUUAUCACAAAAUGGGAACAGUGAAAACCUACCUUAUAGAUCGUGGUGACAAAUAGCAUCACUGUGGGAAGCUCUUGGGGGUGUCUGGAGAUUGUGAGCCCUAAGAUUCUGACCUUUUCCUCUCUAACCCGAAGGUCAUGUACCAUGUGCAGAGUCUCUAGUAAAUGAAGGCAGUUCUCACAAGGUGACGGCCUUGGGAGGCCCCGCGUGUUUUCAUUAGCACCACAGUCUUGGAGAGAAGUGGUGUUUUGACUGGAAGGUACAGCGAAUCAAGCAGAGAACAGAAGAGUCUGUCCUUCUGUGGGUUUCCUGGGUGGAGUUAACAAAGACAAGUAGUAUAAAAAAGCCCCAAACUGAUUAUACCCUCCCCCACCCUAGCUAUGCACAUGCUUCCAAGGGGGUGUACACCCUCCCCCUCCUCCACCUGCCCCAGAUUACUUUUCACUUCCUGGGAAGGCAAGGUAAAGGGUCAGCUCUUUGAACCUUGGUUCAUUAUGUUGUGGUUAUUAAUAAUAAUAUCACUCCCACUAAUGAGGUCACACCUGCUAUUUACCAAUCUUGUCCCUUCCUCAGAGGACUCUCUCUCACCCCAGAGGAAAGGUGGUGGGGGUAAUCAUCUUAGAGUCAGAAAAACAGAGAAGUGUGGUGCUUUGCCUGAAGACACACAGCAGUGCUUCCCUCCAUCCUUUCAGACCCAGCUAUAGAAAUUGCCUCCUUCUGGGAGGCCCUCACACUCCUACUGAUGAACCCGCCGCCCCCCCCAACAGAGGUAUAUCUCAGUGUUGGAGGAUGGUGAGGCAAGGAGCUCCUACGUGGAGCUUGGCCCAGUGUCAGCCUCUUAAUAGAUAUCAUCUCAUUUAAUUCUUACAAACAGAUGAGGCAGGCGUUUGUAAAAACAAGCAGAAUUUGGCCUCUGAGCUGUGUGACUUCAGCAAGCCUCUUAACCUCAGUUGGCUCUUCAGACAAGAAGGCACCGUUUCCACAUGUCGGGCUCCCAUUCCUUCACUUCUUGUAGUGCAAGCUGUAGAGGAGGGGAGUCAACUUGUUGGUCCACACAGCCCAGAAAUGGAAGAUCUCGGAUUUUCUCAGGACUUUGACUCCAAGCCCCUCUAAGGGAAAAGCUCAGGUGCCACUGGUGGCCAGGAACCCACUGCCUCUUAAGCAAGCAGAGAGUGCAACUGGGCAGUGCUGAUGGCUGUCAGCCUGGGCUCAGGCCCCUUAGGAGUCUAGGAUACACAGGAC
rnacentral:lncRNA from 1 species